GUAGUCCACCCCGUAAACGUUGGGAACCAGUUGUGGGGUCCUUUCCACGGAUUCCGUGACGCAGCUAACGCAUUAAGUUCCCCGCCUGGGGAGUACGGCCGCAAGGCUAAAACUCAAAGGAAUUGACGGGGACCCGCACAAGCGGCGGAGCAUGCGGAUUAAUUCGAUGCAACGCGAAGAACCUUACCAAGGCUUGACAUACACGAGAACAUCCCAGAAAUGGGGGACUCUUUGGACACUCGUGAACAGGUGGUGCAUGGUUGUCGUCAGCUCGUGUCGUGAGAUGUUGGGUUAAGUCCCGCAACGAGCGCAACCCUCGUUCUAUGUUGCCAGCACGUAAUGGUGGGAACUCAUGGGAUACUGCCGGGGUCAACUCGGAGGAAGGUGGGGAUGACGUCAAAUCAUCAUGCCCCUUAUGUCUUGGGCUUCACGCAUGCUACAAUGGCCGGUACAAAGGGCUGCAAUACCGUGAGGUGGAGCGAAUCCCAAAAAGCCGGUCCCAGUUCGGAUUGAGGUCUGCAACUCGACCUCAUGAAGUCGGAGUCGCUAGUAAUCGCAGAUCAGCAACGCUGCGGUGAAUA
rnacentral:rRNA from 1 species